rnacentral:rRNA from 1 species
UACGUAGGGGGCAAGCGUUGUCCGGAAUUAUUGGGCGUAAAGAGCGCGUAGGCGGUCCGAUAAGUCGGCUGUGAAAGUCAAGGGCUCAACCCUUGAAAGCCGGCCGAUACUGUCGGACUAGAGUCCGGAAGAGGCGAGUGGAAUUCCCGGUGUAGCGGUGAAAUGCGCAGAUAUCGGGAGGAACACCAAUGGCGAAGGCAGCUCGCUGGCUCAUUACUGACGCUCAGGCGCGAUAGCGUGGGGAUCAAACAGG